AAGAAAAAUCUCAGUGUUUCCUUCAAGCUGCAUGGUGGACAGAUUCCUGCCAGACCCUUCAGAGCAAGCACCCCGCACCCCUGGCCCAGGGUCUGUUCCCUAAUAGGGGGUGAUCUGUCUGCCCCUCACUGUUUUCUCCAAAUAGAGAUAAGGUCUCUAUAAAAGAGACCUGACCAGGCUGGUCUCGAACUCCUGUGUUCAAGCCAUCCACCUGCCUCGGCCUCCCAAAGGAGAAGUGGGAUUACAGCCUUCUCCACAGCCCAGUCACAGUGAGGGAGUCAUCACCACUGGAACCCAGGGUCCACGGCCUCGGAGGAUCCGGACCCCCUCUGCAUUUGAGGAACUUGGCCUCCAGUCAGGGAGCCAAGAAGUCCCUGCCAAUCAAGGAGGGGGUGUGGGCUGGUGGAGGAGGCAGCCUUGGGGCAUGGGAGCUAAUAGACCAGGCUUGAGGGUUCUACUCCUGACUUCUGGAUUUUUCCACCUCUGUAUGGAAUAUGCUCCUUCUGUCUAACACUGUGUGAUUUGGGGACCAUCCAACUCAAAUGAAAGAAGCCAAGCCAUGCAGUGAGCCACUCCCUCCCCAAUGUGGGGUGCCCCCUGCCCCCCACCCAGCUCCCCUUCCCUCCCAGCUGAGGGAGGAUCGCCGCCUGGUGAUCUCAGCCUCCCCUCUGAGUGGGCUGUGAAGUGUCUAAUCCAGGCUUUCAUCUGGCAUCCACAAUUAUAAUGUCAAGAUUGAAUAAUCUGCCUUUAUCUCCCGGGUGACAGCCAUGUAGAAACUUCAAAAGAAACAGUUUUGCUGGCAUCUAACGGCUUUUGUUAAUUACUAUAUCCCAAAGAAAAUGAAAUAAAGGAGGGAGAAAAAUGAUAUUUCUCUGUGACAACUUUGUAAAAAUAUCAGUGAUGAAGCGACGCGGUUUAAGGGCUUUAAGUAUUCAUGUGGCUGAGAUGGGGCCUCUACCCUCCCGCUGGGAAGCUUGAGCAUGCCUGAGGGUGCAUGCACACACACACUCACACACUCGCACAUGCACACAUGCACACACGCACUCGGAUCUGCUCCCAGACCCCUUCACACACCAUACAUGUGGUUACGGGCACUCACUUUCAUAACCCUCUCACAAAGUCCUCUGCUACACACGCGUGCGUG